UACAGGGGGGGCAAGGCGUUGUUCGGAAUUACUGGGCGUAAAGGGCUCGUAGGUGGCCGACUAAGUCAGACGUGAAAUCCCUCAGCUUAACUGGGGAACUGCGUCUGAUACUGGAUGGCUUGAGUUUGGGAGAGGGAUGCGGAAUUCCAGGUGUAGCGGUGAAAUGCGUAGAUAUCUGGAGGAACACCGGUGGCGAAGGCGGCAUCCUGGACCAACACUGACACUGAGGAGCGAAAGCCAGGGGAGCAAACGGG
rnacentral:rRNA from 1 species